rnacentral:rRNA from 1 species
AUACGGAGGGUGCAAGCGUUAUCCGGAAUCACUGGGUUUAAAGGGUGCGUAGGCGGCCUGGUAAGUCAGAGGUGAAAUACACGAGCUUAACUGGUGAAUUGCCUUUGAAACUAUCAAGCUAGAAUUAUGUUGAGGUCAGCGGAAUGAGUCAUGUAGCGGUGAAAUGCAUAGAUAUGACUUAGAACACCAAUUGCGUAGGCAGCUGGCUAGGCAUUAAUUGACGCUGAGGCACGAAAGCGUGGGGAGCGAACAGGAUUAGAUACCCUUGUAGUCC